GUCCACGCCGUAAACGAUGUCUACUAGCUGUUCGUGGUCUUGUACCGUGAGUAGCGCAGCUAACGCAUUAAGUAGACCGCCUGGGGAGUACGGUCGCAAGAUUAAAACUCAAAUGAAUUGACGGGGGCCCGCACAAGCGGUGGAGCAUGUGGUUUAAUUCGACGCAACGCGAAGAACCUUACCUACUCUUGACAUCUACAGAAGACUGCAGAGAUGCGGUUGUGCCUUCGGGAACUGUAAGACAGGUGCUGCAUUGCUGUCGU
rnacentral:rRNA from 1 species